AUAACGACUCUCGGCAACGGAUAUCUCGGCUCUCGCAUCGAUGAAGAACGUAGCGAAAUGCGAUACUUGGUGUGAAUUGCAGAAUCCCGUGAACCAUCGAGUCUUUGAACGCAAGUUGCGCCCGAAGCCGUCAGGCCGAGGGCACGUCUGCCUGGGCGUCACGC
rnacentral:rRNA from 2 species